UAAAAAAUGUAAGUAUGUUGCAUGCAAUAUUUGGGACAUACUUACAAUAUAC
rnacentral:pre_miRNA from 1 species